CUUAGCUCAGAGGAAGAGCACUUGCUUGGUAAGUAAGAGGCCAUGAGUUCGAUUCUCAUAGUCGGCACCA
rnacentral:tRNA from 1 species